UUCGGCGCAUAUCUGGGAGACUUCUCUUCAUCUUUUCAUCGAAUCAAGACUGCGAUGGCGGGCUGCUUGUUCUUGAAUUGUGCGACGGGGACGGGGGAGCAGAGGGAGAAGCGCAUGCGCACAACUCAGGGAAGACGCAGCCGUUGCCUUCGUCAAAGAAAAAAAAAACAUUAUGCUGCUUGCGCGUAAGGGAGACAUUCGCCUCCUCGACUGCUGCCCACCCCCCGAGAGCACGCUGGAACCCAAACGUACACGUCUGGAGCCGCGAAGAGGGUGCGCUACCGCAACUCUGCACGGUGGAACGAGAGUAGCGAGAAGGGUGCGUUUUGUGUGCGCUUCCCAUAUUUGAGGGGCCUGUUGCACACUUGCACACACGCGCACACACGCAGGCACAGCCACACGUUUGUACUCUCUCGGCGGGCUGUCCGUGUGGGUGUGUGUGGUUUCUACCUUUCGCUCUCUGUGACCGUCUGUGCAAUUUCGCUACGCACCCUGUUGUUUGAUCUGACUUCGGUCGCAG
rnacentral:misc_RNA from 1 species